rnacentral:piRNA from 1 species
UUGCUGUGGCUCUGGACACAAAGGGACCU